rnacentral:rRNA from 1 species
CGGGUGGUAAUGCCGGAUGCUCCAGUUGAUCGCAUGGUCUUCUGGGAAAGCUUUCGCGGUAUGGGAUGGGGUCGCGUCCUAUCAGCUUGACGGCGGGGUAACGGCCCACCGUGGCUUCGACGGGUAGCCGGCCUGAGAGGGCGACCGGCCACAUUGGGACUGAGAUACGGCCCAGACUCCUACGGGAGGCAGCAGUGGGGAAUAUUGCACAAUGGGCGCAAGCCUGAUGCAGCGACGCCGCGUGAGGGAUGGAGGCCUUCGGGUUGUAAACCUCUUUUAUCGGGGAGCAAGCGAGAGUGAGUUUACCCGUUGAAUAAGCACCGGCUAACUACGUGCCAGCAGCCGCGGUAAUACGUAGGGUGCAAGCGUUAUCCGGAAUUAUUGGGCGUAAAGGGCUCGUAGGCGGUUCGUCGCGUCCGGUGUGAAAGUCCAUCGCUUAACGGUGGAUCCGCGCCGGGUACGGGCGGGCUUGAGUGCGGUAGGGGAGACUGGAAUUCCCGGUGUAACGGUGGAAUGUGUAGAUAUCGGAAAAGAAACACC